rnacentral:rRNA from 1 species
CGGGCGGCCCUACACAUGCAGUCGAGCGGAACGAGUUAUCUGAACCUUCGGGGAACGAUAACGGCGUCGAGCGGCGGACGGGUGAGUAAUGCCUAGGAAAUUGCCCUGAUGUGGGGGAUAACCAUUGGAAACGAUGGCUAAUACCGCAUAAUACCUACGGGUCAAAGAGGGGGACCUUCGGGCCUCUCGCGUCAGGAUAUGCCUAGGUGGGAUUAGCUAGUUGGUGAGGUAAUGGCUCACCAAGGCGACGAUCCCUAGCUGGUCUGAGAGGAUGAUCAGCCACACUGGAACUGAGACACGGUCCAGACUCCUACGGGAGGCAGCAGUGGGGAAUAUUGCACAAUGGGCGCAAGCCUGAUGCAGCCAUGCCGCGUGUGUGAAGAAGGCCUUCGGGUUGUAAAGCACUUUCAGUCGUGAGGAAGGUAGUGUAGUUAAUAGCUGCAUUAUUUGACGUUAGCGACAGAAGAAGCACCGGCUAACUCCGUGCCAGCAGCCGCGGUAAUACGGAGGGUGCGAGCGUUAAUCGGAAUUACUGGGCGUAAAGCGCAUGCAGGUGGUUUGUUAAGUCAGAUGUGAAAGCCCGGGGCUCAACCUCGGAAUAGCAUUUGAAACUGGCAGACUAGAGUACUGUAGAGGGGGGUAGAAUUUCAGGUGUAGCGGUGAAAUGCGUAGAGAUCUGAAGGAAUACCGGUGGCGAAGGCGGCCCCCUGGACAGAUACUGACACUCAGAUGCGAAAGCGUGGGGAGCAAACAGGAUUAGAUACCCUGGUAGUCCACGCCGUAAACGAUGUCUACUUGGAGGUUGUGGCCUUGAGCCGUGGCUUUCGGAGCUAACGCGUUAAGUAGACCGCCUGGGGGAGUACGGUCGCAAGAUUAAAACUCAAAUGAAUUGACGGGGGCCCGCACAAGCGGUGGAGCAUGUGGUUUAUUUCGAUGCAACGCGAAGAAACCCUUACCUACUCUGACAUCCAAGAAGAAACAAUUCCCAGAGAUGGGUAUGGUGCCUUCGGAAACUCUCUGAGAACAGUGCUUGCAUGCUGGUCCGUCAGCUCGUGUUGUGCAAUGUGUUAGUCCCGCACGAGGCCAUCUAUCUGUUGGCAGACAAUC